rnacentral:rRNA from 1 species
UACGUAGGGGGCAAGCGUUGUCCGGAUUUAUUGGGCGUAAAGAGCGUGUAGGCGGCUUGGUAGGUCCGCUGUGAAAACUCGAGGCUCAACCUCGAGAUGUCGGCGGAAACCACUUGGCUAGAGUCCGGAAGAGGAGAGUGGAAUUCCCGGUGUAGCGGUGAAAUGCGCAGAUAUCAGGAGGAACACCGGUGGCGAAGGCGGAUCUCUGGGCCUUACCUGACGCUCAGGCGCGAAAGCUAGGGGAGCGAACAGG